rnacentral:rRNA from 1 species
AGACUACGACGUUGAUAGGCCGCAGGUCUACGCGCUGAGAGGCGUUGAGCUGAGCGGUACUAAUCGCCCAAGAACUUACA